rnacentral:rRNA from 1 species
CCUACGGGUGGCAGCAGUGAGGAAUAUUGGUCAAUGGCCGGAAGGCUGAACCAGCCAAGCCGCGUGAAGGACGAAGGUGCCAAGCAUUGUAAACUUCUUUUGUCAAGGGACAAAAUCAGGCUCGAGAGCCUGACCGAGGGUACUUGAAGAAAAAGCAUCGGCUAACUCCGUGCCAGCAGCCGCGGUAAUACGGAGGAUGCGAGCGUUAUCCGGAUUUAUGGGGUUUAAAGGGUGCGGAGGCGGGCUGUUACGGCAGCGGUAAAAGCCCGGGGCGCAACCCCGGCGAGCCGUUGAAACUGGCUGGUUUGAGAAGUCGAGAGGGAUGCGGAAUGCGGAGGGUAGCGGGGAA